rnacentral:rRNA from 1 species
GUGAAAUUGUUGAAAGGGAAGCGCUUGCGACCAGACUUGCCUUCAGUUGAUCAAUCGGUGUUCUUCACCGGUGCACUCGGCUGAGGUCAGGCCAGCAUCGGUCUAGGCGGUUGGAGAAAGGCUUUGGGAAUGUGGCUCCCUUCGGGGAGUGUUAUAGCCCAUGGUGUCAUGCAACCAGCUUGGACCGAGGACCGCGCCUCGUGCUAGGAUGCUGGCGUAAUGGUCGUAAGCGACCCGUCUUGAAACACGGACCAAGGAGUCUAACAUCUAUGCGAGUGUUUGGGUGUAAAACCCAUGCGCGUAAUGAAAGUGAACGGAGGUGGGAACCCUUGAGGGUGCACCAUCGACCGAUCCUGAUGUCUUCGGAUGGAUUUGAGUAAGAGCAUAGCUGUUGGGACCCGAAAGAUGGUGAACUAUGCCUGAAUAGGGUGAAGCCAGAGGAAACUCUGGUGGAGGCUCGCAGCGGUUCUGACGUGCAAAUCGAUCGUCAAAUUUGGGUAUAGGGGCGAAAGACUAAUCGAACCAUCUAGUAGCUGGUUCCUGCCGAAGUUUCCCUCAGGAUAGCAGUAACGUAUUCCAGUUUUAUGAGGUAAAGCGAAUGAU